ACGCUAGCUACAGGCUUAACACAUGCAAGUCGAGGGGAAACGGCAUUAAGUGCUUGCACUUUUUGGACGUCGACCGGCGCACGGGUGAGUAACGCGUAUCCAACCUUCCCAUGACUAAGGGAUAACCUGCCGAAAGGCAGACUAAUACCUUAUGGUCUUCACUGACGGCAUCAGAUGUGAAGUAAAGAUUUAUCGGUUAUGGAUGGGGAUGCGUCUGAUUAGCUUGUUGGCGGGGUAACGGCCCACCAAGGCAACGAUCAGUAGGGGUUCUGAGAGGAAGGUCCCCCACAUUGGAACUGAGACACGGUCCAAACUCCUACGGGAGGCAGCAGUGAGGAAUAUUGGUCAAUGGGCGAGAGCCUGAACCAGCCAAGUAGCGUGCAGGAUGACGGCCCUAUGGGUUGUAAACUGCUUUUGUAUGGGGAUAAAGUCAAUCACGUGUGAUUGUUUGCAGGUACCAUACGAAUAAGGACCGGCUAAUUCCGUGCCAGCAGCCGCGGUAAUACGGAAGGUCCGGGCGAUAUCCGGAUUUAUUGGGUUUAAAGGGAGCGUAGGCCGGAGAUUAAGUGUGUUGUGAAAUGUAGACGCUCAACGUCUGACUUGCAGCGCAUACUGGUUUCCUUGAGUACGCACAACGUUGGCGGAAUUCGUCGUGUAGCGGUGAAAUGCUUAGAUAUGACGAAGAACUCCGAUUGCGAAGGCAGCUGACGGGAGCGCAACUGACGCUGAAGCUCGAAGGUGCGGGUAUCGAACAGGAUUAGAUACCCUGGUAGUCCGCACAGUAAACGAUGGAUGCCCGCUGUUGGUACCUGGUAUCAGCGGCUAAGCGAAAGCAUUAAGCAUCCCACCUGGGGAGUACGCCGGCAACGGUGAAACUCAAAGGAAUUGACGGGGGCCCGCACAAGCGGAGGAAC
rnacentral:rRNA from 1 species